GACGAACGCUGGCGGCGUGCCUAAUACAUGCAAGUUGAGUGCUGAAGGUUGGUACUUGUACCAACUGGAUGAGCAGCGCACGGGUGAGUAACGCGUGGGGAAUCUGCCUUUGAGCGGGGGACAACAUUUGGAAACGAAUGCUAAUACCGCAUAAAAACUUUAAACACAAGUUUUAAGUUUGAAAGAUGCAAUUGCAUCACUCAAAGAUGAUCCCGCGUUGUAUUAGCUAGUUGGUGAGGUAAAGGCUCACCAAGGCGAUGAUACAUAGCCGACCUGAGAGGGUGAUCGGCCACAUUGGGACUGAGACACGGCCCAAACGCCUACGGGAGGCAGCAGUAGGGAAUCUUCGGCAAUGGACGAAAGUCUGACCGAGCAACGCCGCGUGAGUGAAGAAGGUUGUCGGAUCGUAAAACUCUGUUGGUAGAGAAGAACGGUGGUGAGAGUGGAAAGCUCAUCAAGUGACGGUAACUACCCAGAAAGGGACGGCUAACUACGUG
rnacentral:rRNA from 1 species